rnacentral:rRNA from 1 species
CACGUAGGCGGACAUUUAAGUCAGGGGUGAAAUCCCGGGGCUCAACCCCGGAACUGCCUUUGAUACUGGGUGUCUGGAGUCCAGAAGAGGUGAGUGGAAUUCCGAGUGUAGAGGUGAAAUUCGUAGAUAUUCGGAGGAACACCAGUGGCGAAGGCGGCUCACUGGUCCGGUACUGACGCUGAGGUGCGAAAGCGUGGGGAGAAAC